rnacentral:lncRNA from 10 species
CAGAAUAAAUUAUAUUUAAAAAUAUGAGCCUGGAUGAUGUCACCAAGAGAGUGAGUAUCAUGGGACUGGAGGAGAGGAAUUAGGACGGCACCCUGAGAAGCUUCAAGAAGCUAAAGGAUAGGAAAGCAACCUGCCAAAGAGUCGGAGAAGAAGCAUCCUGUGAAACAGGAGGAAAAACAAGAGUGAAAAAUAAUGAACGCAAUACCAGCAGCAUUUUCAGAGGAAGGAGCCAUAAGCUCAGUCAGAGGCUUCUGAGAUAACUGAGGCUGAACUGCAGACUCUUGGACAGCUUAAGCUGCAGUUGGAGAAACCCCUAGCAGAAGACAGUAAAUCUUCUACCAUCAGUCAGUCAACUAAGCAUUUGCGCCCAUGUGGUCAUGGAUCUCAGCUGUGAUAAGAGGCAAUGAAGAGACAUGGAGGCAUUUUAAGCAAGAAAAUGGUAAGAACAUGUCAGAGGCAUUUGAACCAAAGCAACUCCAUCUUGAAUAGGAGCUCGGUAAAAUAAGGCUGAGAACUGCUGGGCUGCAUUUCCAGCAGGUUUGGCAUUCUUAGUCACAGGAUGAGAGAGGAGGUCAAUACAAGAUACAAGUCACAAAGACCUUGCUGAUAAAAGAGGACAUAGUAAAUAAACCGAUCAAAACCCACAAAAAGCAAGAUGGUGCUGAAAGUGACCUCUGGUCAUCCUCACUGCUUAUUAUACACUAAUUAUAAUGCAUGCGCAUGCUAAAAGACACUCCCACCUGUGCCACGACAGUUUACAAAUACCAUGGCAAUGUCAGGAAGUUACCCUAUAUGGUCUAAAAAGGGGAGGAAGCCUCAGUUCCGGGAAUUGCCAACCCUUUUCCAGAAAAACUCAUGAAUAAUCCACCCCUUGUUUAGCAUAUAAUCAAGAAAUAACCAUACGUAUACUCAGCGGAGCAGCCCAUGCCACUGUUCUGCCUAUGGAGUAGCCAUUCUC